UCUCUCCGAGACGGAUCCCGAGUAGUGCGGGGCACGUGAAACCCCGUAUGAAUCUGCCAGGACCAUCUGGUAAGGCUAAAUACUCCCUAGCGACCGAUAGUGAAGCAGUACCGUGAGGGAAAGGUGAAAAGGACCCCGGAAGGGGAGUGAAAUAGAACCUGAAACCGUGUGCUUACAAAAAGUCAGAGCCCUAUUACUGGGUGAUGGCGUGCCUUUUGUAGAAUGAACCGGCGAGUUACGUUCCCGUGCAAGGUUAAGGUGAAAAGCCGGAGCCGCAGCGAAAGCGAGUCUGAAUAGGGCGAUGAAGUACGUGGACGUAGACCCGAAACCAGGUGAUCUACCCCUGUCCAGGGUGAAGGUACGGUAACACGUACUGGAGGCCCGAACCCACGCACGUUGAAAAGUGCGGGGAUGAGGUGGGGGUAGCGGAGAAAUUCCAAUCGAACCUGGAGAUAGCUGGUUCUCCCCGAAAUAGCUUUAGGGCUAGCCUCGGAAGGUGAGUCGUGGAGGUAGAGCACUGAUUGGAUGCGGGGCCCGCAAGGGUUACCAAGUUCAGUCAAACUCCGAAUGCCACAGACUUUAUUCCGGGAGUCAGACAGUGAGUGCUAAGAUCCAUUGUCGAAAGGGAAACAGCCCAGACCAUCAGCUAAGGUCCCCAAGUGUGUGUUAAGUGGGAAAGGAUGUGAAGUUGCACAGACAACCAGGAUGUUGGCUUAGAAGCAGCCACCAUUGAAAGAGUGCGUAAUAGCUCACUGGUCGAGUGACUUUGCGCCGAAAAUGUAACGGGGCUAAACACACCACCGAAGCUAUGGCUUGAUAC
rnacentral:rRNA from 1 species